GCCAGACUCCUACGGGAGGCAGCAGUGAGGAAUAUUGCACAAUGGGGGAAACCCUGAUGCAGCGACGCCGCGUGAGUGAAGAAGUAUUUCGGUAUGUAAAGCUCUAUCAGCAGGAACGAGACAAGACGGUACCUGACUAAGAAGCCCCGGCUAACUACGUGCCAGCAGCCGCGGUAAUACGUAGGGGGCAAGCGUUAUCCGGAAUCACUGGGUGUAAAGGGAGCGUAGACGGCUGUGCAAGCCUGAAGUGAAAGGCGGGGGCCCAACCCCUGGACUGCUUUGGGAACUGUACGGCUGGAGUGCAGGAGAGGUAAGUGGAAUUCCUAGUGUAGCGGUGAAAUGCGUAGAUAUUAGGAGGAACACCAGUGGCGAAGGCGGCUUACUGGACUGUAACUGACGUUGAGGCUCGAAAGCGUGGGGAGCAAACAGGAUUAGAUACCCGAGUAGC
rnacentral:rRNA from 1 species